GCCUAACACAUGCAAGUCGAACGGUAAGGCCCUUUCGGGGGUACACGAGUGGCGAACGGGUGAGUAACACGUGGGUGACCUGCCCUCAGCUCUGGGAUAAGCCUGGGAAACUGGGUCUAAUACCGGAUAGGACUGCUUGCCGCAUGGUGGGUGGUGGAAAGUUUUUCGGCUGGGGAUGGGCCCGCGGCCUAUCAGCUUGUUGGUGGGGUGAUGGCCUACCAAGGCGACGACGGGUAGCCGGCCUGAGAGGGCGACCGGCCACACUGGGACUGAGACACGGCCCAGACUCCUACGGGAGGCAGCAGUGGGGAAUAUUGGGCAAUGGGCGAAAGCCUGACCCAGCGACGCCGCGUGGGUGAUGAAGGCCUUCGGGUCGUAAAGCCCUGUCAGGAGGAAAGAACGAUCUUGUCGUAAAUACCCAUGAGAUGUGACGGUACCUCCGAAGGAAGCACCGGCCAAUUCCGUGCCAGCCGCCGCGGUAAUAC
rnacentral:rRNA from 1 species